rnacentral:rRNA from 1 species
AAGUCGAACGGUGAUGCCCAGCUUGCUGGGUGGAUCAGUGGCGAACGGGUGAGUAACACGUGAGCAACCUGCCCCUCACUUCGGGAUAAGCCUUGGAAACGGGGUCUAAUACCGGAUAUGAGCACCUUCCGCAUGGUGGGUGUUGGAAAGUUUUUCGGUGGGGGAUGGGCUCGCGGCCUAUCAGCUUGUUGGUGGGGUAAUGGCCUACCAAGGCGUCGACGGGUAGCCGGCCUGAGAGGGCGACCGGCCACACUGGGACUGAGACACGGCCCAGACUCCUACGGGAGGCAGCAGUGGGGAAUAUUGCACAAUGGGCGAAAGCCUGAUGCAGCGACGCCACGUGAGGGAUGACGGCCUUCGGGUUGUAAACCUCUUUCAGCAGGGAAGAAGCGAGAGUGACGGUACCUGCAGAAGAAGCGCCGGCUAACUACGUGCCAGCAGCCGCGGUAAUACGUAGGGCGCAAGCGUUGUCCGGAAUUAUUGGGCGUAAAGAGCUCGUAGGCGGUCUGUCGCGUCUGGUGUGAAAUCCCAUGGCUCAACUGUGGGCUUGCAUCGGGUACGGGCAGACUAGAGUGCUGUAGGGGAGACUGGAAUUCCUGGUGUAGCGGUGGAAUGCGCAGAUAUCAGGAGGAACACCGAUGGCGAAGGCAGGUCUCUGGGCAGUUACUGACGCUGAGGAGCGAAAGCAUGGGGAGCGAACAGGAU